UACAGAGACUGCAAGCGUUGUUCGGAUUCACUGGGCGUAAAGGGUGCGCAGGCGGCCGGGUGUGUCGGGUGUGAAAGCUCGAGGCUUAACCUCGAAACUGCGCCCGAAACUAUCCGGCUAGAGUACUGGAGAGGGAAGCGGAAUUCACGGUGUAGCAGUGAAAUGCGUAGAUAUCGUGAGGAAGACCAGUGGCGAAGGCGGGUCUCUGGACAGUUCCUGACACUGAGGCACGAAGGCCAGGGGAGCAAACGGG
rnacentral:rRNA from 1 species